AUGCUAGUUGUACGAGCUUACACUCGUAGCAAAUAGCUCCGUAACACGUGGCCAAACCACCCUACAGAGAACAAUAACCUCGGGAAACUGAGGCUAAUAGUUCAUACCCGUCUCACGCUGGAAUGCCAAGACGCGCAAACGUUCCGACGCUGUAGGACGUGGCUGCGGCCGAUUAGGUUGACGGUGGGGUAACGGCCCACCGUGCCGAUAAUCGGUACGGGUUGUGAGAGCAAGAACCCGGAGACGGAAUCUGAGACAAGAUUCCGGGCCCUACGGGGCGCAGCAGGCGCGAAACCUUUACACUGCACGCAAGUGCGAUAAGGGGACCCCGAGUGCGAGGGCAUACAGUCCUCGCUUUUCAGUACCGUAGGGAGGUACUGGAAUAAGAGCUGGGCAAGACCGGUGCCAGCCGCCGCGGUAAUACCGGCAGCUCGAGUGAUGGCCGAUCUUAUUGGGCCUAAAGCGUUCGUAGCCGGCCACGCAAGUUCAUCGGGAAAUCCGCCAGCCUAACUGGCGGGCGUCCGGUGAAAACUGCGUGGCU
rnacentral:rRNA from 1 species